rnacentral:lncRNA from 1 species
UUUGAAUAUGUAAUAAAAUGUUAAUCAGAAUUAAUAAAAUGUUAAUCAGAAUUAAUGAGUAAAUGAUUUUUUUUUAGAGAAGAAAUACUAUAGCAACAUUAUUAUGUUUGUAGAAUAGAAAAUACGAUAUUUAGACAAGACUACUCUUUAUUUUUAAAAAUGGAAAAGAAAAAAAAAUGCCACUUUGUGAAAGUUUCUUCUGGUUCUUC